rnacentral:rRNA from 1 species
AGGGAUUGCCUCAGUAACGGCGAGUGAAGCGGCAACAGCUCAAAUUUGAAAUCUGGCUCCUUCGGGGCCCGAGUUGUAAUUUGCAGAGGAUGCGUCGGGUACGGGUGCCUUCCGAGUUCCCUGGAACGGGACGCCAUAGAGGGUGAGAGCCCCGUCUGGUAGGACACCCAGCCCGUGUGACGCUCCCUCGACGAGUCGAGUAGUUUGGGAAUGCUGCUCUAACGGGAGGUAUACUCCUUCCAAGGCUAAAUACCGGCUGGAGACCGAUAGCGCACAAGUAGAGUGAUCGAAAGAUGAAAAGCACUUUGAAAAGAGAGUCAAACAGCACGUGAAAUUGUUAAAAGGGAAGCGCUCGCUACCAGACUUGGGUUCGGCGGUUCAACCGGGGCCACGCCCCGGGGCAUUCCGCCGGCCCAGGCCAGCAUCAGCUUUCCGUCGGGGGUAAAGGCGUCGGGAAUGUGGCUCCCCUUCGGGGGAGUGUUAUAGCCCGUCGUGUCAUACCCUUCGGGGGGCUGAGGUACGCGCUUCUGCAAGGAUGCUGGCGUAAUGGUAGCUAGUGACCCGUCUUGAACGACAAA